rnacentral:rRNA from 1 species
GAUGAACGCUGGCGGCGUGCCUAAUACAUGCAAGUCGAGCGAACGGACGAGAAGCUUGCUUCUCUGAUGUUAGCGGCGGACGGGUGAGUAACACGUGGAUAACCUACCUAUAAGACUGGGAUAACUUCGGGAAACCGGAGCUAAUACCGGAUAAUAUUUUGAACCGCAUGGUUCAAAAGUGAAAGACGGUCUUGCUGUCACUUAUAGAUGGAUCCGCGCUGCAUUAGCUAGUUGGUAAGGUAACGGCUUACCAAGGCAACGAUGCAUAGCCGACCUGAGAGGGUGAUCGGCCACACUGAGACUAGAACACGGUCCAGACUCCUACGGGAGGCAGCAGUAGGGAAUCUUCCGCAAUGGGCGAGAGCCUGACGGAGCGACGCCGCGUGAGUGAUGAAGGUCUUCGGAUCGUAAAACUCUGUUAUUAGGAAAGAACAUAUGUGUAAGUAACUGUGCACAUCUUGACGGUACCUAAUCAGAAAGCCACGGCUAACUACGUG